UGAGAUAAAGUGAAUUAAAAGUGAGCCU
rnacentral:piRNA from 1 species